rnacentral:lncRNA from 10 species
UUCAAGCAAAGAAAAAAAGGAAAAAGAAAAUCAUCGCUGGAGUGCUGCUGGCUUAGACUUCAUUGAGAUUAGGAGGUAUCAGUUCUACCAAGUUGUGUGUGUUAUACCUGGGUCUCACACUCAAAUAUCUGCAGGGACUAGGCUGUUGAUGGAAAAGAGAGCUGCGAAAUAUGCGGGCAACAGUGGAAAAUUACAGAGGCUGUGACCCUCAGCCCGGCCACAACUGAUUCCUGCCAUACGAGAGCACAGAUCCAAAUGCCAGAACUUCUCAUUUUCCAAGAAAACCUGGAAAUAUGAACUUGUCUAAAAUAUCUUAAAUGUUAAAUGCUACCAUCUAACUAAUAAAACUAAGCAAAGAUGAAGACAAAACAUUUGCAGCUCUGUUAAAAAAUUUCUACAGGCUAAAUUCAGCCUGUCACCUGCUAGUUUGCAUUGUCAAAUAUUAUCACUGCCCUCAUUUUCUCUCUUCUUAAUUUUUCAAGCCAUUACAAUACAGCUCUGCAUGAAUUAAACUGUAAAUAAAACUCUACAUAAACAAAACUGCUCCUCCU